ensembl:lncRNA novel transcript
GGUUGAGGAAAGAAGAUAUCAGAGUCCCCUCACUGCCCUCCCCAUUAACACACUCAAGGCUAAGCUAGUGAGGGGAGAGUAUCUUUGGGAUACUGGACAAAAUAUGGAAUUCCAAGAACCAGGAAGCUUUUGUCUUAUUCUAAAAGGAUAUAACUUGCAGGCUGUCUCCAGAUCAAUUGAGUGGUAGAUCCAUAUUACAAAUAAACAUGAUAGCAGAGUGUGAUUAGGCAGAAGAAGGUGCAUCUCAGCACCUCCUUCUGUGUAAUGUGGAAAUGAGCAGCUAUUGUAGUGGGAAUGAGCAACUCCACAGUAAAGGCAUUAGGCUGUGCCAUCUGGGCAGUGGAUGACAGAGAUAUCAGUGUGUGGCUGGGGUCUGAAGCCUGUUCAGGGUCAAGAUGAGCCUAAGUCAUCCAGAAAGGCUGAUGAAAUCAGCAAAAGUCAGCCAGACAAAGGGCACUGUCAAGGCCAUCAUAUGGCUCUAAGCAUCCCUUUUCCCACCUCCUCAAGAGCACCAAGAAAGACACCAACAUCCAUUGCCAAUUUCCUUCUCCUUGCCAGUAGGGAGGCUGAAAAAAAACAGAUACUCUCUUUCUAUUAAUAUAUCUUCCUUAUAGAGUAGGAUGGAUAUUUGGCUAAGUAUUGAUCAAUAAGAUAAAGUGGAAUUUGCUGGGUGGUGGGCGGGGGUCCUUUGUGUAAUAAUUUUGUGUCUUGAUAAAGUAGGAAUAUGGCUGGGACCAUCCCUGACUCUCUUUUUUCCUUGAAUGUGAACACAUGAGUGAAGCAUACAUCCAUUGUCCAUGGGGCAAGAAACAUGAGGAUGAAAAGCCAAUAUGUUAAGGACAUGAAGUGAAAAGCGGGAAGAGCUUCUUAUUCAUGUUAUCACUGAGCAGCGGGAACUGGGGGCUCUGCUCAUUAUAGUUGCCCACGGCCUCCAGUCAAUGAAAUUUCCGGCCAAUGAAAUGCUCUACUGUGACUGAAGCAGCAAAGAGAAGAUGUUCUGCCGGAGGCCUCUCCAGAUUGUGAUGCACUGGGAGCAAGCCACCAUGAACAUAUCCUCAGGUCUCCAGUCUUCUGCCAUCGCAUGAAAAAUGGAGCUUGUCAAACACAGAGCAGAGCUGAACUUUCUGAAUUCCACAGGACAGUUCAGAGUGCUUGGAAUGACACCCACCUGCAAUUUAAACAAAAAAGAAGGAUGAGUAAGUGAGGAGCUAAAAAUUGCAUGUUUCCCUAAAUUAGAUUUAUUUGUAAGCUUUAAGUAAGUGCAAACAUAUUUCGAAUUAUCUGUUAUGAAUUGUGGUUUUGUUAUUAAAUAGACAUUUUGUUUAAUUCUUAUGUGCAAAGUGAAAAGAGACUUGUUUUGCUGGAUUUUUCUUUUUGGUAAGUAUUGAAUUUUGAAGGGGUACUAGUUUUUCUAGCCAAAUUGAAAAAUUUCUCAGAAUUUAAAGGAUACUCCAUGUGAGUUCAAGCUGUGUUAGGGUUUGGCUACAUAUUUUUCUUUGGCAAUGAAAAGUAUGUUUGAUUCUUAUGACUUGGUAGACUUCAAACAGGCUCACACACAAACUGUUGUCCUUAUAAGGUAGAUGUGGAGGAAACCAACAUAUGAGAGUGAAAUUUAUCUCAAAGCAAAGAAGUGAGGAGUUUAAAAGAUAGAGAAAUGCCUUUGAUUAGAUUCUCUGAGGUUUUGAGCUUCUAAUAUUUUGAUUUUCAAUAUACUUUUUUUUUUCCAAAAUUUGAAAGGUUCUGGGAUUUCUUAGCCCUUGUUGUUUGUUUAAAGUUCCUAUCCAUAACUAAUAGAAAGAAAGUGGUUUGGCUAUGUUCAAGGCUUAAAAGAAAAACAGCUACCACCCAUAAGCAUCUAUUAUAUGCCAUAACAUUGAACACAUAUUGUCUCAUUUAAUUUUCCUGGCCUCGUCACACUACAGUAUUAUCUUCCUCACUUUACAUAUGGGAAUAAUGAAACUCAGACAGGUAAAGUGAUGUACACAAAGGCAUGCAGUUAGUAAGUUUUGGGCCUUGUCCAUCUGCUGUUCCCUAUGUCUGAAAUAUUGUGUCCAGCAUUCCCUUGGGCUCAUUCCUCCUACCUUCCCUACUUUCUUUGAAUAACUCCUAUAUCCUUCAAAGCACAGUCUCUGGUUUUCCACCACCACUCCAGUCUUAGUUAGGUGCCCUCCCACUUUCUACCCGACCGAGUCUGCCUGCAUCAAACACAGAUUACAAGUGCAUUGAGUCUCUCUCAUCUUUAAAUCUUUAUUAUUAUUAUUAUUCUUUUGAAGUGGAGUCUCACUCUGUCACCCAGGCUGGAGUGCAGUGGCGCGAUCUUGGCUCACUGCAACCUCUGUCUCCUGGGUUCAAGUGAUUCUCCUGCCUCGGCCUCCUGAGUACUGGGACCACAGGCAUGUGUCACCACGCCCGGCUAAUUUUUUUGUAUUUUUAGUAGAGAUGGGGUUUCACCAUAUUUGUCAGGCUGGUGUUGAACUCCUUAGCUCAUGAUCCACCCACCUCGGCCUCCCAAAGUGCUGGGAUUGCAGGUGUGAGCCACUGCACCCAGCCUCAUCUUUAAAUCUUUAGUGAUUCACUUAGCUCUACUAAUUAUUAUUUGUGAAAUAAAAUUUUAAAUUAGUAACUUCCUUAGAAUUUCUAUGAAUAAUUGCUCAAUUGCCUUAUCUGAAAAGAAAACCUUAAUAUCUAAUAAAAAUUCCUCUCCUCAGUCUUGCCCAAUGGAGGCCAUUCACUGAACAGUUGAAAGGAGACUGCUUGCCCUUUAUUCCUCACACUUCUUUCAUACUAUUCUUCCAACAUAACCAUUAAAUUUCACCUCAGAAGAAAGGCCACAAUAUUCAUUAUACUGCUCUUCCACAUUUGCAGUACAUCUUAGUUUCUGUAUUCUAGGAUAGUGAAGAUAGAGCCUCAGGUAAGAAUUAAGUGCUAGUGCUUUAUUGGGAGUUAAAUCCCAGGAGAGUGAGAACAAGAGAAAAGGUAAGUGGUGCAGCCAAGAAAGGUGAAGCAUUACCCCUCCAUUGGCUUCUUCACAAAGCAGGGCAAAGAGCACCUACUGUUAUUUGGUAGGUGCCUACACUCAGUCAUACAGGACUUCUUUAUGCAGGCUGAUUGGAGAAAGUAAGACAGAGGAAAUUGAGCUGCCCAGGUUUUUUUCCCUGCCUCUCUUUGGCCAAGAUAGCACCAGAGAGUGUUAACUACCUUGCAUUCCAGUUUGGGUCAUUCAGCUCCUUUAGCAGCCUCCUGGGAAGCCAGAUGCACUCCCUGUGGUGGCAUUUCCCCAAAUGUAGAAGAGAUGAGAGGAGUCAGAGACUGUGGGCUUAAAGUGGUUAGUUUUAAAAGGCUGACUGCAUAGCCCUGCAUUGGUAGUGGAAGUGAAGUAAGCUGCUGAAAAUUGAAACAGGUAAACCUGAGAAACUCAGAAGGGGCAUAUGAAUCCAUACAGACAUACUUCCACCUCGUACAUCUGAUUUAUUUCUCUUUUUACACCAUUUUCUGUCACAAAUCUCACAGCUUUCCAAACUAUAGUACAACUGGUCAAAAUGUCUGAAUGUUGUAUACCAGGAAAAUAUGCUGGCAACUCAACCACAGCACAAGUCUAAAAUCAAAUUUUCUAAUACUGUUCUGUCAAAACAUUUUCCUUCUCUGAUUUUUGUCAUUUCUCUUCAUGGAGACAUGAAUGCUUGUAUUAACUUAGGUUGAAACAUCAGAACUUCAGAGUUAUCUCUGAUUCCAUCCCUCCUUCCACCCGUAGGCAAAGCACAUCAUGUAAACAUAUUAGCAAUCUCUCAGUAGUGGUGAGGAUACUCUCUGGCACAAAUUGCACAUUUAGCAAGAGUUUGAAUAAAAUAAAUAAAUCUGUUUGCUUUUCAGUUUGCUGCUACAUUUGUGUGGGAAGUGCUGCUUGCCGAUAGGGAAGUAGGAGAGGAAAUAAGGAAAACAAUAAACCAAGUACAGUUUUGCAAAUACCCAGACACAUUGGAUGGACACAGAAGCUUUCACUGGGAGAUUAUGAAGGGUAGAUGCUUUGUGUCUCCAUUGCCUCCUGUGAUGUGACCUCACAUUACAAGCCACUGUGGUUGGAACUGCUGGCAAAAUGGAAAGAACCAGGAAGAACAUCAAAGGAGAGUUUUAAAAGGAUAUGAAAUGUAUUAAUUUGUCGUAAUUAUCUACUUUUGAUAGAAGAAUCUCAGAGGUACUUAAGUUGAUGUCUUGGACCUUCAGUCCAGUGCUGACAUCUUGUAAAAUGUCUUAAGUUCCUACCAGGUAAUUUCUGCUUUCUGUCACAAAGCAGGAGAGAAGUUCCAGGAGGAAGUCAUGUAUUUUUCUCAUCUUUAGGUAUAUUAUAUGUAUACCCCAUAUUUCCCUAUAUUAUACUUACACAUAUAUUUAUGUUACACUUUCUAUUUCUCUUAUUUACGUACAUUAUUAACAAAAAAUUUUUGG